GAUGAACGCUAGCGGCAGGCCUAAUACAUGCAAGUCGGACGGGAUCCAUUGAUAGCUUGCUAUCAAUGGUGAGAGUGGCGCACGGGUGCGUAACGCGUGAGCAACCUGCCUCCAUCAGGGGGAUAGCCUCUCGAAAGAGAGAUUAACACCGCAUAAUAUCAACAGUUCGCAUGUUCAGUUGAUUAAAUAUUUAUAGGAUGGAGAUGGGCUCGCGUGACAUUAGCUAGUUGGUAGGGUAACGGCUUACCAAGGCGACGAUGUCUAGGGGCUCUGAGAGGAGAAUCCCCCACACUGGUACUGAGACACGGACCAGACUCCUACGGGAGGCAGCAGUAAGGAAUAUUGGUCAAUGGGCGGAAGCCUGAACCAGCCAUGCCGCGUGCUGGAUGACUGCCCUAUGGGUUGUAAACUGCUUUUGUCCAGGAAUAAACCUAAAUACGAGUAUUUAGCUGAAUGUACUGGAAGAAUAAGGAUCGGCUAACUCCGUG
rnacentral:rRNA from 1 species